AUUCCCUCCCACCACCUCCUAUGAAAGAGGAAAAAAUUGUGUGACUGUUGGAAAUAUGUGCGUCUAUCAAAAGGACAUGAAAUCAGCCCCAUGAGCAGCAAAGCUUUCAGCCAAAUCAUUUGUUCUGGGUGAUGCACAACAGCAUGAUGUCAGUGACCGACAGAAGAGGGGAGGCACCGUUACCUUGAGGAAGGAAUGCUUGUCCUCACCUGUGGGGUUGGUAGCACUGUCUCUGCUUUAGAGAUGAGGAAACUGAGGCUCAGGGAAGUUAAUGUCCCCCUUCAGGGACUUGUGGCUUCCAGGUGAGUUUGCUGCUCCGGCUCCUCCAACUCCAGAAGCCUCCCUUGUCCCCCUCCCACCCCCGUGUCCCCUCGAUGCAGAUCAACGUGGAUUCCUCAUCCUGAAUUCUCAGGAAAUGACACGAUACCUCCCUGGGUGCUGUGCUCUGAUCCCCGUGAUCCAGCUGUCCCUGGGAGGGGCAGCACGGGUGUGUGUGAGCAGCCGAGGCUGGUACAUCACACCAGCUCCUGGCACAGGGCAAGUGCACAGGUGGUCUCAGCCUGGAGGAGGCCUGGAGGCACGGCUGGACCUUCAGCAGGACGCCGGGUCCGUGUGGAGCUGCCAGCCAGCCACUGUCUUGGGCCCACAGGAGAGUCCUGUGGUAGGAGGACCUGUUCCAACAGACCUGGGCUUCUGUUUUCUCUGUGAGAUGAAGUUGGGGCGAGACUGGGGACGAGGCGGCUCUGAGCUUGAGUAGUGUGAUGAGGGUGGUCGUGGUCCCCUCAGGGUGGCAAGAAGAGUCACUGGUGGAGAAGUUGUGUCUCCUGGGUGCUGCAGGAUCCUAGGGAGGGUGCUUAGGUGGGCUCGGUAUUCGGUUUCCAAACCUCCACUUAGGUCACUUAGGUCUCUGUGCGGCACCCUGGCCUUUGGUAGUGCCUGGAACCUCUGCCAUAGACGCUGUCCUGCUUUUGCUCUCUGGAGGGGUAUCUGCUGGGGUGCAGGGGGAUUUCAGGCGACUCUGAUCAUGGCCCCGUUUCCAUGAUUUUCAGAAGGAGCUGGUACCAUCACUGCCAGGCCCAUUGGGGAUUCCACUGGUAAAGCUGGUGGCUUCUUGGCAGGAAGGCCCUUGGCUGGGCCUUUAGAGUCCACAGUUCCUUCUAGUUGUGCCCCUUGCCAAGGACUAAGGACAUGCCUGCUUAGAGCUUACACUCCUUCUAGAACAUACUUCAGGUAAUUAAGCCCUGCAAUUCCCCAUCCCUUUGGUCCCAAUCCUUUUCCUGUGACCUACCUGGGUCCUUCCCAGAGUCCACUCUUUGGGAGUAGACUGUGCUGCCAGGGUAAGCACCUCACCUGGGUGGGUCCUAUUUCAACAUGACUAUGCUCUUAUAAGAAGACAGCCAGGUGAAGACAGGGACACAGGGGACCCUGUGAGAAGUUUGAGAAAUGCAUCUCCAAGAGGAGUGGCAAGGAUUGGUGGCCAUUACCGGUGCUGACCUCUGCCACAGCCUCAGAAGGAACCAGCCCUUCACCUUGGACUCCUGCCUCCAGGUGAGAGAACACAUUUCUGUGGCUUUAAGCCGCCAGUGUGUGGUCCUUUGUUACUGUAGACCAGCAAGUGAAUCCAUGGCCUUUCGCACCAUCGAGGAGGUGUCAAGGGAGAGGACAGAAGCGUUUUUUGUUGUUUUGAUUUUUUGCGUGCUGGGGAUUGAACCCAGGGCCUCGUGCAUGAGGGGUAAGCACUCUACCAACUGAGCUAUCUCCCUAGCCCCCAGAAACAUUUAAAAAAAAACUUUGAAUAAAGUUUAUUAUCUUGGUUUAGAUUUUUUGUUUUUUACUUUUAGGAAUUAAAUUAGGUGUAUUUCUUUGUCAUUCCUGCUCAAGUCCUGUGUGUGGUGGGGGCAAGCUGGUGGGCUUCUUGGCCUCCCCCAACCCUGGCUUAGGAUUCAGCUUUACUCUGCGUGCUCGGCCAAUGCCACACACCCUCCUUUCCAGCUCCCAGCCUUUCACCACUGUCCCCCUGCCCCCACUCAGUUUUUCUCUUAUGUGUCUGGACCAGUGUUGUCAAUAGGAUUUUCUGUGAUGAAGAAAAUGUUCUUCAUCCACACUAUUUGAUAUGGCGGCCACUAACUACACGUGGCUACUGAGCACUGGGGAUGUGGCCAUUGUGACCUAGAAGCUAGAAUUUAGAAAUGACUUAAUAAAAGGGUUAAUCAAGCCCAUGUGGAUAGUGGCUGCCAUAUUGGAUAGUACAGAUCUACACUGCAAAGUCAAACAAAAUUUCUGUUUUUGACGAAUUUGGUAAUGACAGUAGAGGAAUAUGUGCCAUCUGCCAUCUUUAUCUUUGUAUCUCUUGCAAGUCUCAAUUUUUAUUUCAAAGAGAUCUUAGAACCAAAUCAUCAGUAGUGAGUUAAAAAAAAGUGCUGGUUCCAUACAUCUGGGCCCUGUCAUGUGGUUCUACGUGAAGGAGACAGCUUUUGUGGCCAUCCUUCCUUACACAGGUAAGGAGGUGGGGAGCUGUUUGUGGUCACAGAAUGAAUUGGGGUCUUUGGAGAGCGGGCCCCAUAGGCUGGUCUCAGCCUCUCUCCAGGUGGACCUGCAGGCUCCAGGGAUGGCAUCAGCUCACCUUGGGGAGUCCCAGCCAUCCAGGCCCAUCUCCCAGGCCCUGCGGCCACUGGCUGCUAGAAAACAGAUUGGGUUGGUAAAAAUAUGUGUGUGUGUGUUCUCACAGAACCUGAGAAAAUCACACCUUCACUUUGACAAAAAAAUCUGUUUGUGCCGCUCCAAUAAUCACUUGGUAGCUGGUGGGAUUUCGGGCCAUAUGUCUGAGAAGUGGCUAGCCCAGGAGACUCCAUUUCCUCCGAGCCUGCAAAAUACCUUUCUCUAACUGAUCAGUUCUAAAAUAAGAAGUGAAGCCACAGGCCUCGGCUUAAAGCAGCGCUCAGGAGACCGCUGGCUCCUGGACAGGGAGGGGUCUGUGAUGCCCAGCAACCCGUUUAAGUUUCGGGGGGCGAGGGGAGAUGCCAGCACCCAGAGAGCAUGAAGCAGUCCUUGGGGAGCGAGGAGGGCUCAUCUGCAGAAAGCAGGACUUGCUUGGCAUGAUUUCAUGGGGCACAGCCUCUUGGAAAUGUGGCAUCCACCGCCAGGAAGUGGCCGUGCCUGAGUCCCUCGCUCUCCACUCCCAGGCCUGUGAUGUUGCAUCUGCUUACGUAACAAGAGGAGCCACCUGUCCAUUGCAAGAGCUGCUCUUCUCUCUAUGUCCCUGUCCCUUCUCUGGCAUCAGCUGGAGCUGCUCUGGUAUGACGGGUGUCCUGCCAACUGCUGCUUCUGAGUUGAGCCUGUCUCUGCACCUGGCUUUGUGACCUUAGGUAGAUACAAAUGCUGUGGUUCUGGAUGGUCUCACCUGGGACCCUGGUGAGUAGUGUGGCAAGGCAUCAAGAAGUGCAGCACAGCUUUGAACAGGUGAUUGACUUGCGCCCACCCUAGUGGGAGAGUAAAAACAGAUGCGACACGGAAGUCAACCUGGGUUUUCAGUUUUCUGUGUGUUGCGCUCAAGGUGCCUCAUCCUUGUGUUUAAAAAGUCCUGACGAUUGUAUGGCUUUCAUUCAGUGGCUCUGCAGAAGGUCCGAGGUCCAGUUUCCCUCUUGGAUCUUUCCAUAUCCAGCAGGAGGGCCCUGGUUCAGGGACGUGGUCUUGGCCAGCCUUGAGAACUGCCCUGCGCUGCCAAAGCUUGCUGUUUCUGGGUCCUGCCCGAGCACCUUUGUGUCCCCCGAGUCCCAUGAGGAGACCCAUGGUGAAGCUCUCGUCGCACCCCAGCUCCACGGCGCUGUUGAUCAUGGCCUCUGUGCCUGCUGGGAGGCUGGAGCGCAGUGCUGGAGACAGGGAGCCGGAGGCAGCCGUGCCUGGCCUGCCACCCAGCCGCAAGACCCAAACCCCUCCUGGGAGUCCCCCAACAGGCCUCACUGUCGCCAGCCCGCCUGUGCCUGCAUGCUCGCUCUUCCAGAACAUACUCAGAGCGGCAGUCGGCGUGAGUUCACCUCACACCCCACCCCAGGCCGAGUCUGAGGCUGCCUCUGCUGGGCGUUGUUCAAGGCCUCCAUACACCCUGGAUUAGAACAUUCUGGAAUUUUAUUUGUACAUUUUCUAUUUAAUUCAGGAUCUUGCUAGGUUGCCCAGGCUGGACUCCAACUCACGAUCCUCCUGCCUCAGCCUCCCCAGUAACCGGGAUGAUAGGCAUGUGCCACCCUACCUGGCCACUCUUGGCGUUUUCUUCUAACUGCUUUUUAGAGUCUGACUUCCCAACUAGAUAGGUUGAGUCUCACUGUGUGCAGUCACUGGGCCAAGAACUGGAUCAGGCCACCUCUGUGAGAAAAGUAUUAGUGUGGUUUCUAUUUAAUAUCACGCUGGGGAGACCGAGGCACAGAGAGGUUAAGGAGCUUGGCCUGUGGCAUGCUCACGGAAGUGAGUUCUAUUUUCGGUUUUUCCCCAUCCCCCUGGUACCUGCUUCCACCUAUGCUUCCCUCAGAAGUCUUCCUAUUUUUCCCUUCCUGGUGAAUUUCUAUAAUUUAAGAAACAAGAAAAUAAAUUUGUAAGGUUCUCACCAUA